ACCUAGGCGCCAAUUAGAGAAUACACAUGAUAUGGAAAACUGAAACGUCGUAGACUCACCUCGCGAGACGCAAGCGUGCGUCUGAUUUGAACGUUGCAAUGAGUCUUCUUCUUCUUCAAGCGGGAGACCUAAUCACGUUCACGAGUUACGACUCUAUUAAUCCGCUAUUACCGAAUUCGUCCAUUCCUACUGCAUACUACACCAGGUCACGGCUUCGACUCAAAAUUCAAAUCACUCAAUUCUGCUCUGAUUCUGAUUUUUUUGCUUCAAUUCUUUCUUGGAAGGCUUCUGAAAUCACGACUCUGUAACUCUAUUGCAAGGCUAAUACACGAUUGCGAGUCCGGUUUCAUUAUCAAUUCGCUCCAAUUUCCCAGAUUUUGAGUCCGAUUUCAUUAGCCCAAUCUUUGUAACUUUGUGAUUCAAAAAUCUGAUUUUAGACAUUUCUACUACUCACAAGCAAUCUACAAGUCUGAAUGUCUAAUUUCAUUAUGCCCAAAUUUUGUUAACAGCUGAUUUCUGGUCAUACUGCCAAUCAAAGUUUAUUGAGAUUAACAAAAAAAAUCAUCAAAGUUUUUGAUACGGGCCUGGUAGAUUCAAGCCUUCCACAGAAAAGCACCAUUUGGAUUCAACCAUAAAACAUCAUCAAAGUUUUUGAUUUUCAGGUGUAUUCUUUCCUUACUAGUUACUAUAAUGUUUCCUAAAAAACACUUAUCAGGAGCUGAAAAAAGAAAAAAACGAAAAUUAGCUGAAGAAUCUAAAUUGAAACAAAAAGGGUCUUUAGAUAAGUUCAUUAAACUGAAACCAAUUGGUUCUUCUAGUGUUUCAAAUGAACGUGAUGAUACUAAUGUGUCAAAUAAACGUGAUGAUACUAAUGUGUCAAAUAAACGUGAUGAUACUAAUGUGUCAAAUGAUUGUGAUGAUACUAAUGUGUCAAAUGAACGUGAUGAUACUAAUGUGUUAAAUGAACAUGAUGAUAAAAAUUUGUUUAAUGAUUGUGAUGAUGCUAAUUUUAAUAAUCCUUUAGAUAUUUAUGACCCUAGAAAUUGGAAUGUUCUUGAUAAUAAAACAAGAGAUAUUCUAAUUGAAAAAGGGCCAAUAAGGGAAAUGAGUCUUGUGUUUCCUAAAGAUACAUUAUCUAGACAUUUCUCUUAUGUUUUUUAUACCCAAAAAUUAAAUAAUGGAGAGACACGAGAUCGGAAAUGGCUAGUUUACUCAAAGUUUUUGGAUAAAGUUUUUUGUUUUUGUUGUAAACUUUUUAAAUCUAAUAAUCAAAAAGGUUUUUUUAGCAAAUGAAGGUUAUAAUGAUUGGAAACAUCUUAAGGUGUGUUUGGUUGUGGAAAAUUUUCCAGUUGUCUAGGAAAGUUUUCCAAGAAAAACGGAAAUUUGGAAAACGUGUUUGGUUCGUUCAGUUUUCCAAAGUUUUCUAAAAAAAUGAAAAUUUUCAGUUUUCCAAAUUGUAUGUAAAUUAGAAAAGUGAUUUUUACAGUUUUACAAAUUUCUAAGAUGGAAAAUGAAAACUCCACCCGUUCCAACCAAACGCGUUUUCAUUGAAAAUUGGAAAUGAAAACCCAACCCUAUUUUCUAAAAACAUUUUCAUAGAAAAUGAAAACAAUUUUCCACAACCAAACGCACCCUUAGUGUUCCACUUAAAGAACAUGAAAGUAGUAAUGAACAUUUGAGUUGUAUGAGUUCUUGGAAUGAAGCAAAACAAAGAUUGAAUAAAAACCUUACUAUUGAUAAAGAUUUACAACAAGAAAUUUUAAAGGAAAAAGAGCAUUGGAGGCAAGUUUUAAGAAGAAUAAUUGCUGCUGUGAAAUAUUUAUCUAAAUAUAAUUUGGCUUUUCGAGAUUCUAACUCUAAACUUUAUGAAGAUAGUAAUGGUAACUUUUUGGGUGCAAUACAAAUGAUGGUGGAAUUUGAUGGCAUAAUGCAAGAUCAUGUUAGACGCAUAGAAAAUCAAGAAAUUCAUCAUCAUUAUCUUGGCCCCAAAAUUCAAAAUGAACUUAUUUCUCUUUUAGGUCACACGGUUAGAAGUUCUAUCAUUAAAAUAAUUAAAGAGGCUAAAUAUUUUUCUAUAAUUCUUGAUUGUAAUCCGAAUGUGAGUCAUCAAGAGCAAAUGACUUUAAUUGUAAGAUGUGUGAAUUUGUCUUCUAACAAAAUACAAGUUAAUGAAUAUUUUUUAGAAUUUUUAAAAGUUGAUGAUACUUCUGGUUUGGGACUUUUUAAUGAGUUAUUAGAUGCAUUAAAAUUGUUAGAUCUUGAUGUGAAUGAUGUAAGGGGUCAAGGAUACGAUAAUGGGUCUAACAUGAAAGGAAAACACUAAGGGGUUCAAAAACGAUUUCUUGAAAUUAAUCCUAGAGCUUUAUAUAUGCCAUGUGCUUGCCAUAGUCUAAACCUUACCGUUUGUGACAUGACACUUUCUUGUCGUAAAGCUGUUUCUUUUUUUGGUAUUGUUCAACGCUUAUAUUCAUUAUUUUCUAGUUCUACUAAAAGAUGGAAAGUAUUAUUGGAUAAUGUUCCAACUUUAACUAUAAAGUUUUUAUGUAAUACUCGUUGGGAAAGUAGAAUUAAAAGUGUCAAAGCUAUUAGAUUCCAAGCUCCUCAAAUAUGAUUAGCUUUGCUAAACUUGGCUAAAUCAUGUGAUGAUCCAAAAUCAAAAAGUGAAGCCAAAAGUUUAGUUAAAGCUAUUAAGAGUUUUGAAUUUUUACUUAGUAUGGUUAUUUGGUAUGAAAUUUUAUUUGCUAUUAAUAUGGUAAGUAAAAAAUUGCAAUCUAAAUCUAUUUGUAUUGAUGCCACUAUUAACCAAUUACAAAAUGUAAUGACAUUUUUUAAGAAGUUUAGAAAUGAAGGGUUCGCUUCAAGCAUAAAUAUUGCUAAAACAAUUGCUUUAGAAAUGGGUGUUGAACCUACAUUUCCACAUAGGCGUAAUGUCACUAGAAAAAAACAAUUUGAUGAAAGUGAUAGCGAAGAAGAAGAAAUAUAAUCACCGGAAGAGUAUUUUAAGAUUCAUUACUUUUAUGUUGUUGUGGAUGUUGCAAUUGUUUCAUUAAAUACUAGAUUUGAACAAUUAAAAUAUUUUGAAAGUAUAUUUGGAUUUUUAUAUGAUUCAAAGAUUUUAAAGUCAUUGGAUGAAAAUAAGCUUAAAGAGUGUUGUAUAAAGUUUUCAAAUACCUUUUCUAAUGACAAUUUUUUUGAUGCGGAUUCAAAUGAUCUUUUUACCGAAUUAAAAUUUUUGCAAAAGACUCUUCCUAAUGAUAUUAAAUCUGCAGUUGAAAUUCUAGAAUUUGUUAAAGUUGAGGAUUGUUACCCAAAUGUUUUUAUUGCAUAUAGAAUCCUAUUAACUAUUCCUGUAACUGUUGCAUCUGCAGAGAGGAGUUUUUCAAAGUUGAAGUUAUUGAAGAAUUACUUAAGGUCGUCGAUGUCACAAGAAAGGUUGAACGACUUGGCAAUUUUAUGUAUAGAGAAGGACAUGCUAGACAAGAUUAAUCUUGAAGAUAUUAUUAAUGAUUUUGCAUCUCAAAAAGCUAGAAAAAGUAUUUUUCUUUAAUAUUUUGGAUUUUGUAACGAAAAUUGUUAUAUUAAGAUGCUAGUACAUCUAUUUUUUUAAUUAGUGAGUUAUUAUAAAAAUGUUGAUGGAAUUUAUGUAUUAUAGGGGCCUUUUUUUUUCCUUCUCGCCCCGGGCCCCAAUUAUGUUUGGAACGGCCCUGUAUCCUAUAAUUAUCAUUGGCUAUAAAUAAAAUGUGUUUGACUUGAUAAUUUUUUUGACUCUAAACCAAAUACCUAAAAUACCCUCAAUAUUACUUCCGCAGUGUGUUCAACUCGACAAAUAGUUUGAUGAAAAUCUUUGACUAAAUUAAAUACCUAAAAUA